rnacentral:rRNA from 1 species
GGAUUCCCCUAGUAACUGCGAGUGAAGCGGGAAAAGCUCAAAUUUAAAAUCUGGCAGUCUCUGGCUGUCCGAGUUGUAAUCUAGAGAAGUAAUGCCCGUGCUGGACCGUGUAUAAGUCUCCUGGGAUGGGGCGUCAUAGAGGGUGAGAAUCCCGUCUUUGACACGGACUACCAGUGCAUUGUGGUAUGCUCUCAAAGAGUCGAGUUGUUUGGGAAUGCAGCUCAAAAUGGGUGGUAAAUUCCAUCUAAAGCUAAAUAUUGGCGAGAGACCGAUAGCGAACAAGUACCGUGAGGGAAAGAUGAAAAGAACUUUGGAAAGAGAGUUAAACAGUACGUGAAAUUGCUGAAAGGGAAACGCUUGAAGUCAGUCGCGUUGGCCGGGAAUCAGCCUUGCUUUUGCAUGGUGUACUUUCUAGUUGACGGGUCAGCAUCAAUUUUGACCGCUGGAAAAAGGCCUGGGGAAUGUGGCAGCUUCGGCUGUGUUAUAGCCUCUAGUCACAUACAGUGGUUGGGAUUGAGGAACUCAGCACGCCGCAAGGCCGGGUUUCGACCACGUUCGUGCUUAGGAUGCUGGCAUAAUGGCUUUAAGCGACCCGUCUUGAAACACGGACCAAGGAGUCUAACAUGCCUGCGAGUAUUUGGGUGGAAAACCCAAGUGCGUAAUGAAAGUGAAAGUUGAGAUCCCUGUCGUGGGGAGCAUCGACGCCCGGACCAGAACUUUUGGGACGGAUCCGCGGUGGAGCAUGUAUGUUGGGACCCGAAAGAUGGUGAACUAUGCCUGAAUAGGGUGAAGCCAGAGGAAACUCUGGUGGAGGCUCGUAGCGAUUCUGACGUGCAAAUCGAUCGUCAAAUUUGGGUAUAGGGGCGAAAGAC